rnacentral:rRNA from 1 species
CCUACGGGGUGCAGCAGUAGGGAAUUUUCGUCAAUGGGCGCAAGCCUGAACGAGCAAUGCCGCGUGAACGAGGAAGGUCUUCGGAUCGUAAAGUUCUGUUGAAGGGGAAAAAGAGCGGAGAGAGGAAAUGGUCUCCGAUUGAUAUUACCCUUCGAGGAAGUCACGGCUAACUACGUGCCAGCAGCCGCGGUAAUACGUAGGUGGCGAGCGUUAUCCGGAAUGAUUGGGCGUAAAGGGUGCGUAGGCGGCCUGCUAAGUCUGGAGUGAAAGGUACCGGCUCAACCGGUACAGGUUCUGGAAACUGGCGGGCUAGAGAGGAGGAGAGGGCGGUGGAACUCGAUGGGUAGCGGUAAAAUGCGUAGAUAUAUGGAAGAACACCAGUGGCGAAGGCGGCCGCCUGGCCUGUUGACUGACGCUGAGGCACGAAAGCGUGGGGAGCAAAUAGGAUUAGAUACCCUAGUAGUC